CUUCAUCAUCAUCCUCUUUUUCUUUGUCCUCCAAGGCCUGUUUUUCCAGCUGUUUGGCUACCUCAUCCACUGAAGUCCCCGAUUCUCCCUCCAUUUCCUGUUGUCCUGCAGCCCCGGCCUUGCCCUUCUUCUUCUUGCGGCGCUUCUUCUUGGCCGUCUCCUCGGCCGUGGCGGCCGCGCCGUCGUCCUUGUCGUCCGGCUCCAGCUCGCCGUUCAGGUGCCUCUCAGAGGCCGCCGCCUGCGCCGCCUCCACGCCCGCCAUGUUGCUAAAGAGAGAACGAGAGGGCGAGCUAGAGGGGCCCGCUCCCCGAGCAGCCGCCCGCGUUCGCCCCCGGCGCCCGGCCCAGCCGCUCUCGAUGGUGCCACGAAGCGAGGGGCAUGCCGGGACGGUUGGAGGACCCGGCCGCGGUCCGCCCGCCCCCGCUGGAGGGGCGGGGCCGGCCCGGAGCAGCCGGCCUCGUGGCGGGCGGGGGAGGGGGAGCCGCCGAGGCAGAGGCGGGGCCGGGGGCUCGCGUGACAUCACCCUCCCCGGCCGCGCCCCGAGCCUGCCGCGCGCCGGGGCCUCCUUUCCGUCCCAGGCAGGAAAAGAAAAGUUUGCUUGGCUCGGGCUUCCGCACGUCCCACGUGCGCCCGGAGGAGGAAGAACCCCCCUCCCACGUGCACAAGCACGCACGCUCCCCAGGGCAACCGCCUCCCCUUCCCGGGCCGGAGGCCCCCGGCGCCUUUGCUGCUAGGGCUGUGGAGCCGUCGGGAAGCAAAGUGCAUCCUUGCCCUGAAAUUCUAAUUCGGCUUAAAAGUCCCUCCUGCCCCGCGGUGUUUAUCUCGCUAAGGGGGACCAUACAUCUCGCUUUUAUUUUGCCCGAAGGGAUGAGAGAAAAAAAAACCAUUAAUAUUCAUUUUUUUAAUUGGCAAUGAGAAUUUGCCGCGCUUGCACAAAAAGUUUGCGUCUCGCGCAAACGAUUCCCGUUUUUCGGAAAACUCCCCCAGUUGCGUUUUCUCUCGAUGGGGCAAGUAAGCCACACGGCAACGAGUCGGCUCUCAGCGCGGACACCCCGACGCUAAAUUCCGUUCGGCCCGAUGAAGUCCCCCAAUCAGGCACGAAGGCUUUUCUGGUGCAAAAAAAAGAAAAGAAGAAGAAGAAAGUCCAGGACCGCUGCGGGCUGCAUCUGCCGAAUGUGGUCUGUUACUGCCUUGAUACAGAAUCUGUAACUACUUAAUUGCGAUAAAUAAAUAAAUAAAUAAAAUAAUAGUCAUUAAUGAAGAUCA